AAAGGAUUAUAAAAUAGGAGAAGUAGUCUAUGAAAAGAAAUUCGGGGAAAGAAAUAAACUUCAAUCCCGAUACAAAAAGCAGAAAAUGUAUGCGAAUAUACUAAUACUGACUUUUGUUAUAUUGACGACUGCGGAAGUAAUUGACUAUACGCAUAGUGACUAUCUAUUGCUCAAAGACGACAGAGACGUUUACACUUAUGAAACAUACGCUGAACUUUUCCAUAUUACUAAUUUGAGUUUUUAUAGAGAGAUAAUUGAUAAAGAAUCCAAAUAUGUCAACAAAUCAAUUAAUUCAGACGAUGAGUGGGAAAUAUCAAUGGACUUAAGUCUAUUAAAAUUAAUGAUUUCAGAAUUAGUUCCAAAACGGAAAGAAAGGGGAAUAAAUGAAUUAGGUACCAUUUGGAAAUGGAUAGCAGGCAGCC